GACACCGCCAGUGAGGAGUCCUUGGGUGAAAGCAAGGACCAGCUCGUGAAUGACUUUGGGAAACCCUCCUCCCAGAAAGCCGUGAAGCCCCGGGAAAUAAUGCUGCGGGCAAACAGCCUAAAGAAAGCAGUGAGCCAAAACCACACCUCAGUCUCCUGAUGCCCAGGCAAGCCGUGGUCAUUCCCAAAUUGAUUCCGUCGCUGGUCCAGCUAUGGCCACCACCAAAGAAAACCUCCCUGUGCUCAACACCAGAAUAAUCUGCCCAGGUAGUGAAG
rnacentral:lncRNA from 1 species